GGGCCCGUAGCUCAGCCGGAUAGAGCAAGGGAUUUCUAAUCCCUGGGUCGCAGGUUCGAAUCCUGCCGGGCCCACCU
rnacentral:tRNA from 2 species